GGUUGAGGCUGUUCCCAUGUGCUUUCAGUGCUAUGUGCUACCACACUUACUCCGCCUACUGUGAUGUCACGUGCACACCCUUUAUACAAGCUGUUCAGACCUGGAUGAUGGACCGGACAGAGAAAUGACCUCAUUCUCUCAUUCACUGUGCUUCUUAUACAAUAUGCUAACACCGACCCUGAACAGCCGAGGGAAAGUAGGACGGGGAACAAGAAAAGGAAGAAUGAGCAAGCUGUGUGAGAAAAAAAGUUGCCAGGGAAAAGGAAGGAAAGAGGGGAUGAAGACGAUGACGAGGCAAGGCAGGAAUUAAGAAGCGAUGCUUGGAGGACAGA